AACAUGUUUUUUUCCUCCACGUCCAAUACUCAGUUCUAUUUUUCAGAAUCCCUAAAUUUUGCUCGUUCACUCCCGACGAAGCAUAGCUCCUCCAUCCAGUCGGGACGAAGACGCAACUCCUCCACCAACCCAAUUCCUUCUCCUGCAGCCCCUCAGUUUAUCUUGUUCAGAGGACGACGAGGCGAACGCGGUAAAUAUUAAUCCAUAAAAGAGUUUUGCGUGCACGUAUAUGCAUUAUGAUAUAUAUAUGGAUCGGACCGGACGUACCUCGGCACAUUUUGCUAUGUAAGGAUCG